AGAGUUUGAUCCUGGCUCAGGAUGAACGCCUUUUGGCAGGCUUAACACAUGCAAGUCGAAGGGCAUCGAGGGGAGUGCUUGCACUCCCUGGCGGCGACUGGCGCACGGGUGAGUAACACGUAUGCAACCUGCCCUCCACAGGGGGACAACCUUCCGAAAGGGAGGCUAAUCCCCCAUAAAUCUCGAUGGGGCAUCCCAUUGAGAGGAAAACUUCGGCGGUGGAGGAUGGGCAUGCGGCGCAUUAGCUAGUCGGCGGGGUAACGGCCCACCAAGGCGACGAUGCGUAGGGGUACUGAGAGGAAGGCCCCCCACACUGGUACUGAGACACGGACCAAACUCCUACGGGAGGCAGCAGUGAGGAAUAUUGGUCAAUGGACGGGAGCCUGAACCAGCCAAGCCGCGUGAGGGAAUAAGGCCCUAUGAGUCGUAAACCUCUUUUGUCCGAGAACAAACGCGGAGACGCGUCCCCGUCUGCGUGUACCCGAAGAAAAAGCAUCGGCUAACUCCGUGCCAGCAGCCGCGGUAAUAAGGAGGAGGAGAGCGUUAUCAUGAUUUAUUGGGUUUAAAGGGUGGGUAGGCGGUAUUGUAAGUCAUCGGUAAAAGCCUGGGGCUCAUCCCCGUCGAACCGUCGUAACUUCCGUGUUAGAGAGGAAGAGAAGUAGGCGGAAUGCGCAGUGUAGCGGUGAAAUGAUUAGAUAUUGAUCAGAACUCACAUUGCGAAGGCAGCCUGCCGGCCUAUGUCUGUCGGUGAGGCAGGCAAGCGUGGGUAUCGAACAGGAUUAGAUACCCUCGUAGUCCAUGCAGUCAACGAUGAAUGCACGACUGUCCGUGUCGCGACAUGACAGACGUGCGGUGGCGAAGCGAAAGCGAUAAGCAUUCCACCUGGGGAGUACGCCGCCAGCGGUGAAAUUCAAAGGAAUGGACGGGGGCCCGCCCAAGCGGAGGAACAUGUGGUUUAAUUGGAUGAUACGCGAGGACCCUUCCCCGGGCUCAAACGGGAGAUGACGUGGGCAGAGACGUCUGUCUCUUAGGACAUCUUCCGAGGUGCUGCAUGGUUGUCGUCAGCUCGUGCCGUGAGGUGUCGGGUUAAGUGCCAUAACGAGCGCAACCCCUGCCGACAGUUGCUAACGCGUCGAGGUGAGCACUCUGUCGGGACUGCCGGCGCAAGCCGCGAGGAAGGCGGGGAUGACGUCAAAUCAGCACGGCCCUUACGUCCGGGGCGACACACGUGUUACAAUGGGGGGUACAGCGGGAAGCCAGCCGGCGACGCCGAGCGGAUCCCGAAAGCCUCUCUCAGUUCGGAUCGGAGUCUGCAACCCGCCUCCGUGAAGCUGGAUUCGCUAGUAAUCGCGCAUCAGCCAUGGCGCGGUGAAUACGUUCCCGGGCCUUGCACUCACCGCCCGUCA
rnacentral:rRNA from 1 species